rnacentral:rRNA from 1 species
AUUGAACGCUGGCGGCAGGCUUAACACAUGCAAGUCGAGCGGAGCGAGGGUGCUUGCACCUUAGCUUAGCGGCGGACGGGUGAGUAAUGCUUAGGAAUCUGCCUAUUAGUGGGGGACAACAUUCCGAAAGGGAUGCUAAUACCGCAUACGCCCUACGGGGGAAAGCAGGGGAUCUUCGGACCUUGCGCUAAUAGAUGAGCCUAAGUCGGAUUAGCUAGUUGGUGGGGUAAAGGCCUACCAAGGCGACGAUCUGUAGCGGGUCUGAGAGGAUGAUCCGCCACACUGGGACUGAGACACGGCCCAGACUCCUACGGGAGGCAGCAGUGGGGAAUAUUGGACAAUGGGGGGAACCCUGAUCCAGCCAUGCCGCGUGUGUGAAGAAGGCCUUUUGGUUGCAAAGCACUUUAAGCGAGGAGGAGGCGCUCUAGGAUAAUACCCUAGAUGCGUGGACGUACUCGCAGAAUAA